AUUGAACGCUGGCGGCAGGCCUAACACAUGCAAGUCGAGCGGAGAGGCGGACGGGUGAGUAAUACCUAGGAAUCAGCCUGGUGGUGGGGGAUACCGUUCGGAAACGGACCCUAAUACCGCAUACUAUCAAGUGAGCCUAGGUGGGAUUAGCUAGUUGGUGGGGUAAUGGCUCACCAAGGCUACGAUCCGUAACUGGUCUGAGAGGAUGAUCAGUCACACUGGAACUGAGACACGGUCCAGACUCCUACGGGAGGCAGCAGUGGGGAAUAUUCGGCAAUGGGCGAAAGCCUGAUCCAGCAAUGCCGCGUGAGUGAAGAAGGUCUUCGGAUUGUAAAGCACUUUAAGUAGGGAGGCGUUACCGACCGAAAAAGCACCGGCUAACUCCGUGCCAGCCGCCGCGGUAAUAC
rnacentral:rRNA from 1 species